GCGAGGAUCCCCUAACCGGUGAGAAUACCCUUUAAAUCCCACAUUGGAUUAAAAGGAGUGGGUAUCAAGCACAGCUUGCGAAGUAGCUCAUUACACCUUGCCUAGCCACAUCCCCACGGAAACACAGCAGUGAUAAAAAUUAAGCAAUGAACGAAAGUUUGACUUAGUUAUGCUAAUUCAGAGUUGGUAAAUUUCGUGCCAGCCACCGCGGUCAUACGAUUAACUCAAAUUAAUGGGAAACCGGCGUAAAACGUGUUUUAAAGAUAAAAACUAAUAAGAUUAAGUUCUAUUUAGGUCGUAAAAAACUUCAAAUAGUUACAAAACCAAUACGCGAAAGCAAUCUCAAUAACUUUGAACACACGACAUCUAAGACUCAAACUGGGAUUAGAUACCCCACUAUGCUUAGACGUAAACAUAAAAAAUUCAUAACAAAAUUUUUCGCCAGAGAACUACUAGCAACAGCUUAAAACUCAAAGGACUUGGCGGUGCUUCACAACCAUCUAGAGGAGCCUGUUCUAUAAUCGAUAAACCCCGAUAAACCUCACCACUUCUUGCUAAUCCAGCUUAUAUACCGCCAUCUUCAGCAAACCCUAACAAGGAAAAAAAGUAAGCACAAGUACACACAUAAAAACGUUAGGUCAAGGUGUAGCCCAUGAAGUGGGAAGUAAUGGGCUACAUUUUCUAACCAAGAACAUCCACGACAAUCUUUAUGAAAACUGAAGAUCCAAGGAGGAUUUAGUAGUAAAUUAAGAAUAGAGCGCUUAAUUG
rnacentral:rRNA from 1 species